ensembl:lncRNA
GGAAUAUCAGUAGCUACAACAGUGGAAUUCAGAUUGUGGUGUAGAUGGGUGUUUUUCUUCAGUCUGUACAUUAUUCCAUACACACACAUACACACGUAAAGGAAAAAUGUUCAUGUGUACCUCAGACUUUCCCAAACUAAAGUUGGGAAUGCUCUUAACAGUUUUGCUAGUCUGCCUAAGAGUGUUACUCCAGCCAGAAGUCAGAGAUGGUCCACCUAAGAGUAGAAGCCAAAUUUUACAUUUACUGCAACAGUUUUGUUACAUGGAGACAUUACAAUGGCAGUGAACUUAUCUGUGAACCUAGUUUAUUCCUGUUUUGCUGCAAUGAUUCCAGAUAGGUAAGCUGCUAGUGUAGGGUAGUUUCUGGUGAACUUGAUCUUGUGUCUGGAGAUGUUUAGGUUAUUACAUGAAAGGUACUACAGCUAUCAGAUACAGUCUAGAUACACUGCUGAACUCUAGUAGGAAAGAUUCUGCACUUUGAGCCUAAAGGUUGAAAAACCCUGGUUUGUGACUCUUGUCAUCCUUACUGUAAUAUUGUGAUUAGAAUCACAUACUACCUAGGCCUGUGUGAGCUUCUACACAUUCCAUGGAUUGAACAUCUACCAGAUCCUUGAGGAAAUCCAUCCACAGAUCUUAAUGUGUCCUUCCUCUUCAAUAUUUAGCCUUACUAGUUCUACUGACAUUAUCAUACCUCCAACUGUUAAGUGGGGAAACAUACCUAUAUUCUGUAAUAUCUCAACCCGAAAUCCGUCUCAGUGUCACCUGACCCCUCUGCAGACAGCAGACAGCUACUUAGUGCUAGCUUGUUUCUUUUCUCUACCCUGCAGACAUGUGGUCUUAAAACUGAAAGCAAGUGUCCAAACUCCUGGAACCAACUUUCUCUGAACUCAGGAGUUAAUCAGGCUUGCAGUAGAGUGUUUGUGUCAGAAACUACCAAUUCUUGAUAAAACAGUGAUGGUUGGCACAGCUUAAUUUGCCCAUCCCCCACUAUAAACCCAUGGUAGCCUUGUAAACCAUCAGUCCAUUAUCACAGUGAAGACCAGCCUGGCAGCUACUGGACAUAAACAAGCUUGCACAUCUACAGGGACAUUCGUAAAAAUUGCUUUACUGGAUGGUUGCUCACUAGAAAUCGCCCGCUUGCCUUCAUUUGGUGAGAGUGAGAGCUUGCUUAGCUUGAUAACAUUUUCCCUUACGCUAGCUCUUCAAAAACACAGCAGUUUGAUAUUAAGGCUUCCACAGGAAGUAGAAAUCUGUUGGGUAAACAGUAUAUUACCCAAAAAGCCUAGAGGGAAAUCUGAAGAAGUUAAUGUCGGCUUGCUGGGGCUUUGGAAGUUUCUAGGAUUCAGAAUGCACAAGCUCGGGCUGUGAGUGCCUGCUCAGGACCAAGCUGAAGUGCUCCCAACUCUCACCAGGGAGAGAGCACAGCCCACUAAAUAGUGAUGAAGGAAUGUCUGGGCAGACUACAAUGGCCUAACACAUCAAAAGAACUCAACUUCACCAGAAUAAUUAAGAGACCAUCACCAGCCUUAGACAGGCAUAGGAGACUGACUUUAUAAGCAUUUUAUUAUUUAAUGUGUCAAAUUUUCAACAAAUAAGAUAUGGACAAGGUGUGGCCCAGUGCAUAAGGAAGCAGAAAGCAGCAAUAAAUAGAAAUUGAGGAAGGGCAGAUGUUGAACAUAAGACUUCGAGAAAGCUAAAUGAAAUAUGUUAAAACCUAUAGAACACUUUAAAGAGAUAAGAGAAAGCAUAGUGUAGCCUAAAAAUAAAGAUAAUGUGCAGAUGAUGUAGAAGAAUAUUUGCUAUCAGAAAAAUGGUGAUGACAUUUGAACCACCAAAUAAAUAAAUAAAUAUAGAUAAAGAUAUGGUGCACAUGACUGUUGUAGCACUUAAGACUGAAUAGGACUGAAUAUGAGGUUAAGCUAACUCGAGGAAGAAAAUUCUGAAGUUAAAAAGCACAAUUACCAAAGUUGAGAAGGGCUCCUGUGUCAAUUGAGAUUAUGCAGUUUGAGGAGCUUGAAGAUGGCUCAGAGGUUCAGGAAACUUGCUGAGUGAUCAUGAGGACCAGAAAUCCCAGCACCCAAGAGAAGCUUGUCAUCCUGCCAAAGGCCUGUAACUCCAUGGUCUGCGUGGGCACACACAGUCACGUGCACACAUUUAUAUAUUUAUACACACAUUAAAAAACAAACCAAAAAUGGGAUUUAACCAGAGUUCCCAGUCAUUUGUAUUUCCCAAAGACUAGGGAAACAUUCACAUCUAUAGUGCAAGUUGUAGCUACACAACUAAAAUACCUAAACAAACAGGUGAUCUUCCCAUAUGGUGAGAUAUUCAGCCAUAAAGAAAAAUGAGGUAUUGUUGUCUAUAGCAUGGGUGAACCAUGAGGACAUGCUAACUGAAAGAAACCUUGGAUCAGUUAUCUGACCCUAUAUGUCACAUUCUGCACUUUGGAGUAGUAGACAAUACCCAUCAAACAGCUCUUGUCUAUUUGGAAAUUGUAGCCAGUCUAUCCAACAUUUGGUACCAGUUCAUCCAGACUCCUUAGUUUUCAACAUACUUGAGUUAGCCACAAAAUAAUCCAUUUUCCAUUUUGUGUCACCUCUUGACCUGCUUAGUCAGCACCAGGUCAUAAGACAAAGUCCAAGAACAUGAAAGGAGUUUGUCAUGAUAUGUAGGGCUCUUCAUCCAUACAAAGUUUUGUAUAAUUUGUAAAAAUACUGCCAAGUCAAUUUCAUCGCCCAUGUUAAAACCAUUUCCUAUCAACCUAUACAGAGCUUUAACUGUAGCACUAGGUAUCCAUGAGCAAAUUGAAAUUUGUUCAAUUGAAAUUCAAUCUGGGGAUUGAUUGUCUCUAAUCUCUCCUGUGUCUCUUCUCUUGUGUGUCCAGUGUAGGCUCAUCUCCACAAAUCCAGAAGUGUAUUUGAGCUCCUCUUAUUCUGAUGGACGAUGGGUUAAAUGCUCUAAGUUGGAUUCUCCCCAUCUUUAAGAUAGAGAAGGAACUGUCUUCUGAAAGAUUUCAAGGGGCUUUUCUCUGUGUAAGUCACCCAAACUUGAGUGUUCAAAUACUAUUGUGUUAAACUAAAGAGAAGUUUUACUAAAAGAUAGUGCAUGUAACCUAUUCUGAUGUAGAAUUUGGUUCUGGGGCAACUUCAAAAUACAUAGCAUAGCCAGGAUGAGAUUUACUAUUCAGGUGUGAAGAAUGGGAGAUUUGUGUUAUAUGACAAUUAUUAAAGAGGCCAUUU